AUAAAACCGGCCAUUUUGGUGUGUCAGCCUUUUCCUCACUUAGACUGGAGGGUCUGCACGUGGCCUGGUUACGAGGCUGUCAGAGAACCCACAAGGUGACAAGGCUAAGUCGAUACCAAACUACAAGAUCUUGGCCCUCCACAGAAGACUGCAGUCUGUUAACCUCUCUGGGAUAUGUGGGACGGUAGCAUCCCACCUCGCCAACAGCCAGUGAAAUUGCAGGGUGCCAAAUUCAAAACUGAAAUCCCAUAAUUAAAAUUCCUCAAACAAGUAUUUUACAUGAUUUUAAAGAUAAACUUCUUGUAAAUCCAGCCACAGUGUCCGAUUUUCAUAUGGGCUUUGUGGCGAAAGCACACCAAACGAUUAUGUUAGGUCAGCACCUAGCCACAGAAAACCAUAGGGCCAUUUUCCAGCCAAGGAGAGCCCUCAGUCAGAAAUAGAAAUUAAAUAAACAUUUGAUCUUCAUCAGAUGGCACUCCCAGGACUGCCGUGUUACUUCUCAAUGCAACUGCUGUCAGAUUUCAAAAAGGCUUUACGGCAAAAGCGCAUCGAUUAUUUGAGGUCAGCACCUAGCCACAGAAAAACAUACAGCCAUUUUCCAAAGGAGGUGUCACAAGUCAGAAAUAGCAUUAUAAAUAUUCACUUACCUUUGAUCUUUACCAGAAUGCACUCCCAGGAAUCCCAGUUCCACAAAUGUUUGUUUUGUUCGAUAAAGUCCAUUUAUGUCCAAAUAGCUCUUGUUUGCGUGUUUAGUUCACAAAUCCAAACUCACGAGGCGCGGGAUAGUCCAGGCGCAAAUUCAGACAGUCCAAAAAGUUCUGUAACAGGUCGUAGAAAUGUCAAACGACGUAUAGAAUCAAUCUUUAGGAUGUUUUUAUCAUAAAUAUUCAAUAAUAUUUCAAUUCCUUUGUCUUUAGAAAUGCAAUAGAAUGCAGCUAACUCUCGGGCAUGAGCGAGACUGAGUUCAUGGCACUCUGCCAGACACCUGGCUCAAACAAGGUUCUAAAGAUACUCACAGACAUCAUUCAAGCAGUUUUAGAAACUUCGGAGUGUUUUCAAUUCAAAUCUACUAAUUAUAUUCAUAAUCUAGCUUUUGAGCCUGCGUAGCAGGCAGUUUACUCUGGGCACCUGCUUAUCCAAACCACUCAGUACUGCCCCCCAGUACCAAAGAAGUUAACAUGGGGUGAGAUCUUUAAUGGAUUAUUUAGGGGCCUGUGUUUUGCACGAGGCACUUUUACCUGUAUUUCCAGAAUUAUCCAGCUGGUGUCACUUCAGUCCCUUUUUUUUAAAUCCACCAGCUCACCAAUUUAUCAAAGCAAUAAGGAUUAUUUCCCCAACAUGACCAAGAUUGUGAAACAAUAUCCCUUUUGCUAAUAAUUCUGUAGAUGUGGGAAGAAUUGUUAAUACCAGGGCUGACUCAGCAAUGGAAAUGUGCUGACCUAAGUGAGAAUUUAUUAUUUAUGUUCCUGAUUAUGUAAGGCUGAAACAUUAAAAUAUUUGAAUCAGA